rfam:Haemonchus contortus, ISE/inbred ISE, WGS project CAVP01000000 data, contig: Hcontortus_29097
GGCCCAAGUUCCAAGUAGAGUAGACUAGUAGGACCAGCUUACCCUACUCAACUAUUCUACUUCAAGUUUGUGCCC